CAGUCGGCCUUAUACUCUGGAGGAAACCGGAAAACCCUCCAGCCCAGUUCAAGAAUAAGCCUGUGGAAAGUUACUUCUUCAAAAGCAAAAGUAUCCCAUAUCAUAUCUUCUCAUUUUUCUUCUCUUUAUCCUUCAUGCUGCCUGCAAGAUAGGGAGAAUGUGAACAAUCAGCCGGAACUCGAAAUCAAAGUUCUGAUCUGGGACUGAUUGCUUGGAGCUCUGAUUGCUUACCUUGUCUGUCACCUCUUUCAGCAGAUCCCCUAGCUCGGCGACUUGGAUGACUCCUACUACAUGGUUGGUAUCGCGCUUGACCAAGCCUGAAACUACAAGUAAGCUUCAAGUGAAAUUGAUACAUUACCUUGUGCAUCUCCACCAGUUAAAGAUACCACCCCUGGAUGGAGGAAGAGUACUUCCAGAGAAGAUGUCACAUCUACCUACGAGACAGAUAAGGCAAGUCAAGACGAUACCACACUCCGGAACUUAGAAGUUUCGUGAUUACGAGAUCAUUCUCCCACAAUAUUUCCUAAUGUCAUUUGUAUUAAAUCAUUCACUUGUACUCGCU
rnacentral:lncRNA from 1 species